GGGAGUUUGGCCGAGUGGUUAAGGCGCCGUGUUUAGGUAUUCUCCAGAGUUUCUCUUGGUUUACUACAAACCCGCGGUGGGAAACCGCGCAGGUUCGAAUCCUGCAGCUCUCA
rnacentral:tRNA from 1 species